UACGUAGGGUGCAAGCGUUAAUCGGAAUUACUGGGCGUAAAGCGUGCGCAGGCGGUUGUGGAAGACCGAUGUGAAAUCCCCGGGCUUAACCUGGGAAUGGCAUUGGUGACUGCACGGCUAGAGUGUGUCAGAGGGGGGUAGAAUUCCACGUGUAGCAGUGAAAUGCGUAGAGAUGUGGAGGAAUACCGAUGGCGAAGGCAGCCCCCUGGGAUAACACUGACGCUCAGGCACGAAAGCGUGGGGAGCAAACAGG
rnacentral:rRNA from 1 species